GGGGAAUAUUGGACAAUGGGCGAAAGCCUGAUCCAGCCAUGCCGCGUGAGUGAUGAAGGCCCUAGGGUUGUAAAGCUCUUUUAACGGGGAAGAUAAUGACGGUACCCGUAGGAUAAGCCCCGGCUAACUUCGUGCCAGCAGCCGCGGUAAUACGAAGGGGGCUAGCGUUGCUCGGAAUCACUGGGCGUAAAGCGCACGUAGGCGGACUCUUAAGUCGGUGGUGAAAUCCUGGAGCUCAACUCCAGAACUGCCUUCGAUACCGGGAGUCUCGAGUUCGGGAGAGGUGAGUGGAACUGCGAGUGUAGUGGUGAAAUUCGUAGAUAUUCGCAAGAACACCAGUGGCGAAGGCGGCUCACUGGCCCGAUACCGACGCUGAGGUGCGAAAGCGUGGGGAGCAAACA
rnacentral:rRNA from 1 species